GUGAGCCAAGAAGAGGUCACUGUGCUCCAGGGUGGGUGACAGAGCAAGACUCUGUCUCAAAAAAAGAAAGGAAGAACAAAUAGAAGCAUAUAUCUAUAAAAGAAGUGAUAGCAAUUCCCUUCCUCAUUGUGACUAGUCAUAGAGCACUGUACUAUCCGCACAGGUUUCCUUAAAUAUUGUCUAUACC